GUGCUCGCUUCGGCAGCACAUAUACUAAAAUUGGAACGAUACAGAGAAGAUUAGCAUGGCCCCUGUGCAAGGAUCACACACACACACACACACAUAAAAAAAAAAAAA